rnacentral:rRNA from 1 species
AGUGAACGCUGGCGGUAGGCCUAACACAUGCAAGUCGAACGGCAGCACAGUAAGAGCUUGCUCUUACGGGUGGCGAGUGGCGGACGGGUGAGGAAUACAUCGGAAUCUACUUUUUCGUGGGGGAUAACGUAGGGAAACUUACGCUAAUACCGCAUACGACCUACGGGUGAAAGCAGGGGAUCUUCGGACCUUGCGCGAUUGAAUGAGCCGAUGUCGGAUUAGCUAGUUGGCGGGGUAAAGGCCCACCAAGGCGACGAUCCGUAGCUGGUCUGAGAGGAUGAUCAGCCACACUGGAACUGAGACAGGGUCCAGACUCCUACGGGAGGAAGCAGUGGGGAAUAUUGGACAAUGGGCGAAAGCCUGAUCCAGCCAUACCGCGUGGGUGAAGAAGGCCUUCGGGUUGUAAAGCCCUUUUGUUGGGAAAGAAAAGCAGCAGGUUAAUACCCCGCUGUUCUGACGGUACCCAAAGAAUACGCACCGGCUAACUUCGUG